CAUUAGUGGUGAGUUUACAUCUUCUUUUCUAUGAUUAAUGAACAAUUCAAAUAGAAGAGGUAAAAAUGCUGAUUCUUGUGACUUUAGAUAGUUCACGCGUUAUUACUUUUUUGAAUUUAAUUAGUUUCCAAAGACCAAAUAUCAUUCUAUGAAAAUAUGAAGGCCAAAAUGUUAUUUUUAUAGAUUGUUUAUAUUAUAUCCAAAUAUGAUUUUCUUAUAGUAAUUUGAUUAGCAUGUCAUUCAAAUAUGCCAGAUAAUCCAAUUAUAGGUAUAAUGACUUUGACAUCAGCUUGGCCUUGGAUGAUAAAACUCCUCCAUUACAUGGAUCUUCAUAUGAGACAUCUAACUGCCACCUAAGUCACUUGAGUUGUGGGUAUACGAGUGAAUAGUUGAAGAGGUUCCUACAAAAAUUAGAGAAAAUCCAAGAAGAAGGCCUUUGUGAAGUAUUCCAAGAAAUAUGAGACUGAUGAAGGGCUUAACGACAUGAUCAAGACAACAAGAGAUCACUUACCAGACAUUUAGGUUUGGCGCUGAAUAUUUUGAUUGAGAAAUAGUGUUGAGUACUAUUGGUCUAUGUCAGAGUGGAGAUAAUGUACAUAGCCUCUAUUUAAACUUCUGUAUGAAUUAGUGUUUAUUUUAUUUAUAUUGAUGUAAGACUGGAAGAGGAUCAAUAUUAUCUAAAGGUACAUGGACUUCUCUUUCACAUGUACA